GAAUAUUGGACAAUGGGGGGAACCCUGAUCCAGCCAUGCCGCGUGUGUGAAGAAGGCCUUUUGGUUGUAAAGCACUUUAAGCGCGGAGGAGGCUACCUGGAUUGAUACUUUAGGCUAGUGGACGUUACUCGCAGAAUAAGCACCGGCUAACUCUGUGCCCGCGGCCGCGAGAAUACAGAGGGUUCGCGCGUUAAUCGGAUUUACUGGGCGUAAAGCGUGCGUAGGAGGCCAAUUAAGUCAAAUGUGAAAGCCCCGAGCUUAACUUGGGAAUUGCAUUCGAUACUGGUUGGCUAGAGUAUGGGAGAGGACGGUAGAAUUCCAGGUGUAGCGGUGAAAUGCGUAGAGAUCUGGAGGAAUACCGAUGGCGAAGGCAGCCAUCUGGCCUAAUACUGACACUGAGGUGCGAAAGCAUGGGGAGCAAACAG
rnacentral:rRNA from 1 species